GGGGUGUCAAACAUGGACCAGAAAGGCUAUCUAGAGCAUGAGGUUUCAAGGCAGCUUUCUUGGUGAAGAAAAGCACCAUUUGGGCUCUUCCAAAAUUCUGGCAUCCCUGGAGAGUGAGGAGUGUACUACAUACUGGAAUCUGAUCGUUUUCUCUUCUCAGUUGCCCUUGCUACCUAAUUACUGUAUAAGAGGUCAGCUUCUAGAGUGAAAGAAGCCCAGUAGAAGAAUUGCUUAGUACAACAGGGAAAGUGGUCCACUGUAAUUGGAAGGCAGCUUUGGAUGUUUGACUUACUAAAGAAAUGUGCCUGAUUUUAUUCUUCCAGAAAGUUCUGGGUUCUGAAUGCAUACUAAAAAGCAUGUCCUCUGCUUCUUUAUUCCUUUCCUAAAUGUAGACACUUAUUCUA